rnacentral:lncRNA from 1 species
CCAACAAUAUUCCUGUUGAGUUCCCCAUAGCAAAUUCCCCUGGAAACCCACUCAUUGCUCAACACGUCAUCAUUUAGAGCUUGAAUACAAAAUGAUUUGUGAGCGGGAAGAAAGAGAGAUUUCUCAAGAACUUAACAGCAGAUCAUCCUUUUAGCACGAGUCUGUCUGACCUGGCAACAUGCCAAAAUCCGGCUCAGCUGUCUGGCGUCAAACAGCAAAUAUCCUUCUCUGACCCUGUCUUCAUAUAGCCCACCAAAGAUGACCCCAGCUCUUAGACCAAUCAUAAGAUAACAAGCCAUCCACGAAGGCUGUUUGCUGUAUAGGUUAGCUUACG